rnacentral:misc_RNA from 1 species
CUAUCAAUGACUUGUAAAAUUGGCCACUAACAUCGACAAGAUGAUUACACCCUAUUGAAUUUUAGCACUUAAUUUGCCAGCUGCCCCGCUCUGCCGGAAAUUCGCACCGACGAUAUCAAAACCAAUCGAUAUUUUACAAAAUCUCUGACCAUUUCCACGCAAAUAUGGCAAUGUUUUUGUGAGGAGGGAUAGCCAGUGUCAGGUUGAGCCAGUGCUGAGCUCUCUCUAAAUCCCAGUGCACAUAACUCUUGCAAAGAAAGUGGUGCAUGGGAUUUAGAGAGAG